UCGGGAGUGCUUGCACUCUGUGAAACAAAGAUACAGGGCUAGCGGCGGACGGGUGAGUAACACUGGGGUAACCGUGCCCCAAAGAGAUCGGGAUAGCACCUGGAAACAGAUGCUAAUACCGGAUAACAACAGAUGAUGCCUAUCAACUGUUUAAAAAGAUGGUUCUGCUAUCACUCUUGGAUGGACCUGCGGUGCAUUAGCUAGUUGGUAGGGUAACGGCCUACCAAGGCGAUGAUGCAUAGCCGAGUUGAGAGACUGAUCGGCCACAUUGGGACUGAGACACGGCCCAAACUCCUACGGGAGGCAGCAGUAGGGAAUCUUCCACAAUGGACGCAAGUCUGAUGGAGCAACGCCGCGUGAGUGAAGAAGGGUUUCGGCUCGUAAAGCUCUGUUGUUGGUGAAGAAGGACAGGGGUAGUAACUGACCUUUGUUUGACGGUAAUCAAUUAGAAAGUCACGGCUAACUACGUGCCAGCAGCCGCGGUAAAU
rnacentral:rRNA from 1 species